rnacentral:rRNA from 1 species
AUGAAGUUCCUCUUCAUGGUGGGAUUGAACAGCGACAUCUCCAAGACUAUCUUCGUCGAGAACUACAAGUCCCUCGAUGACAACUAUAUUGGUGCUCUCAAGGCGGAACAAGAACUCAUGAAUGCCAAGGCUUCUCCACCCCAAGCACACUUCGAGAUGACCAAGCUCCAUGAGAAUGAGCAUGAGGCUAGUACCACCAAGAUGCCCAAGCCCGACGAGCUCCAAGAUGAUGCUCCCGAGUUCGACUUCACCGCCAUCCCUCUUUGUGGCAUUGAUGAUGCCGAGUCUACUUUGACUCUUUUUCAAGACGGUGCGGCGACGAGUACGACUACAGAGACCCUCAAGGACCAAGCUUUGGAGGCGAGCAACAAGGUGGCGAGCAAGGAUGAUGCUUCCAUCUUAGGAGGCGAUGAGAUGAUCGAGCAUGGGAUUUUCCCUUCGGUCAUGGAGGAGAGUGAGGAUGUGCCAUCUUCGGCCUUCAUCUAUGGCGACAAUGACGAGAUGGUUGAGCAUGGGAUUUUCCCUUCGACCACAGCGACGUAUGAUGACUUGAGUGACUUUUGCCACCAUAUUGAGAGUGGGAGUGACUGCACCACUAGCCCCAUAUAUGACGAGUUGCCCCAAUUCCCAUGCGAGGAGAGCCACAACCCCCACCACUUGAGUGAGAUGAGUGACUCCACCAUAUGCGACUUUGAGUGCACCUAUUUUGAGGGAGUGAGUGAACCACCACAUAGAGAGAGUGUGGUAGUUGAUAGGUUUCGUGAGGCCAUUUGCAUUUCUAACAACUUGAACUCUACUUAG